ACGUAAGAAUUUACCUUUAGGAGGGGGAUAACAACUGGAAACGGUUGCUAAUACCCCAUAUGCUUUCGAGUGAAAUGGAUUUUUCCGCCUAGAGAGAAGCUUGCGGCUGAUUAGCUUGUUGGUGAGGUAAUGGCUCACCAAGGCGACGAUCAGUAUCUGGUUUGAGAGGACGAUCAGACACACUGGAACUGAGACACGGUCCAGACUCCUACGGGAGGCAGCAGUGGGGAAUAUUGCACAAUGGGGGAAACCCUGAUGCAGCCAUGCCGCGUGUGUGAAGAAGGCCUUCGGGUUGUAAAG
rnacentral:rRNA from 1 species